rnacentral:rRNA from 1 species
AGAGUUUGAUCCUGGCUCAGGAUGAACGCUGGCGGCGUGCUUAACACAUGCAAGUCGAACGAACCUUCGGGUUAGUGGCGGACGGGUGAGUAACGCGUGAGAAUCUGCCCUCAGGAGGGGGAUAACGGCUGGAAACGGCCGCUAAUACCCCAUAUGCCGAGAGGUGAAAUGAAUUUCGCCUGAGGAUGAGCUCGCGUCUGGUUAGCUAGUUGGUGUGGUAAAGGCUCACCAAGGCAUCGAUCAGUAGCUGGUCUGAGAGGAUGAUCAGCCACACUGGGACUGAGACACGGCCCAGACUCCUACGGGAGGCAGCAGUGGGGAAUUUUCCGCAAUGGGCGCAAGCCUGACGGAGCAACGCCGCGUGAGGGAUGAAGGCCUCUGGGCUGUAAACCUCUUUUAUCAAGGAAGAAGAUCUGACGGUACUUGAUGAAUAAGCCACGGCUAAUUCCGUGCCAGCAGCCGCGGUAAUACGGGAGUGGCAAGCGUUAUCCGGAAUUAUUGGGCGUAAAGCGUCCGCAGGCGGUCUUGAAAGUCUGUUGUUAAAGCGUGGAGCUCAACUCCAUUUCAGCAAUGGAAACUAGAAGACUAGAGUGUGGUAGGGGCAGAGGGAAUUCCCGGUGUAGCGGUGAAAUGCGUAGAUAUCGGGAAGAACACCAGUGGCGAAGGCGCUCUGCUGGGCCAUAACUGACGCUCAUGGACGAAAGCCAGGGGAGCGAAAGGGAUUAGAUACCCCUGUAGUCCUGGCCGUAAACGAUGAACACUAGGUGUCGGGGGAAUCGACCCCCUCGGUGUCGUAGCCAACGCGUUAAGUGUUCCGCCUGGGGAGUACGCACGCAAGUGUGAAACUCAAAGGAAUUGACGGGGGCCCGCACAAGCGGUGGAGUAUGUGGUUUAAUUCGAUGCAACGCGAAGAACCUUACCAGGGUUUGACAUCCUGCGAAUCCCUUGGAAACUUGGGAGUGCCUUCGGGAGCGCAGUGACAGGUGGUGCAUGGCUGUCGUCAGCUCGUGUCGUGAGAUGUUGGGUUAAGUCCCGCAACGAGCGCAACCCACGUCUUUAGUUGCCAGCAUUAAGUUGGGCACUCUAGAGAGACUGCCGGUGAUAAACCGGAGGAAGGUGUGGAUGACGUCAAGUCAUCAUGCCCCUUACAUCCUGGGCUACACACGUACUACAAUGCUACGGACAAAGGGCAGCAAACUCGCGAGAGCUAGCCAAUCCCAUAAACCGUGGCUCAGUUCAGAUCGUAGGCUGCAACUCGCCUACGUGAAGGAGGAAUCGCUAGUAAUCGCAGGUCAGCAUACUGCGGUGAAUACGUUCCCGGGCCUUGUACACACCGCCCGUCACACCAUGGAAGUUGGCCACGCCCGAAGUCGUUACUCCAACCCGCAAGGGAGGAGGAUGCCGAAGGUGGGGCUGAUGACUGGGGUGAAGUCGAAACAAGGUA